AACGAACGCUGGCGGCGCGCCUAAUACAUGCAAGUCGAGCGAGAAGACGUAGCAAUACGUUUGUAAAGCGGCGAACGGGUGAGGAAUACAUGGGUAACCUACCCUCGAGUGGGGAAUAACUAGCCGAAAGGUUAGCUAAUACCGCGUACGCUCCUUGGACUUCGGUUCAGGGAGGAAAGCGAUACCGUGGGUAUCGCGCUCUUGGAUGGGCUCAUGUCCUAUCAGCUUGUUGGUGAGGUAACGGCUCACCAAGGCUUCGACGGGUAGCUGGUCUGAGAGGACGAUCAGCCACACUGGCACUGCGACACGGGCCAGACUCCUACGGGAGGCAGCAGUAAGGAAUAUUGCGCAAUGGGCGAAAGCCUGACGCAGCGACGCCGCGUGGGGGAUGAAAGUCUUCGGAUU
rnacentral:rRNA from 1 species